CGGGGGGAGCAAGCGUUGUUCGGAUUUACUGGGCGUAAAGGGCGCGUAGGCGGCCACUGCAAGUCGGUUGUGAAAUCUCCGGGCUUAACCCGGAAAGGUCAACCGAUACUGCAGGGCUAGAGUGCAGAAGGGGCAACUGGAAUUCUCGGUGUAGCGGUGAAAUGCGUAGAUAUCGAGAGGAACACCUGCGGCGAAGGCGGGUUGCUGGGCUGACACUGACGCUGAUGCGCGAAAGCUAGGGGAGCGAACGGGAUUAGAUACCCCGGUAGUCCUAGCCUUAAACGAUGAAUGCUUGGUGUCUGGGGUUUUAUAGUCCCCGGGUGCCGUCGCUAACGCUUUAAGCAUUCCGCCUGGGGAGUACGGUCGCAAGACUG
rnacentral:rRNA from 1 species